UACGUAGGGCGCGAGCGUUGUCCGGAAUUAUUGGGCGUAAAGAGCUCGUAGGCGGCCUGUUGCGUCUGCUGUGAAAUCCCGGGGCUCAACCCCGGGCGUGCAGUGGAUACGGGCGGGCUAGAGGCAGGCAGGGGAGAACGGAAUUCCCGGUGUAGCGGUGAAAUGCGCAGAUAUCGGGAGGAACACCGGUGGCGAAGGCGGUUCUCUGGGCCGAUACUGACGCUGAGGAGCGAAAGCGUGGGGAGCAAACAGGAUUGAGAUACCC
rnacentral:rRNA from 1 species